rnacentral:rRNA from 1 species
UACGAAGGGGGCUAGCGUUGCUCGGAAUCACUGGGCGUAAAGCGUGCGCAGGCGGUUCGUUAAGUUCGUUGUGAAAGCCCCGGGCUCAACCUGGGAACUGCAAUGGAAACUGGCGGGCUUGAGUGUGGCAGAGGGGGGUGGAAUUCCGCGUGUAGCAGUGAAAUGCGUAGAGAUGCGGAGGAACACCGAUGGCGAAGGCAGCCCCCUGGGCCAACACUGACGCUCAGGCACGAAAGCGUGGGGAGCAAACAGG